GGACUUUAAUUCAUUUGGGGUUUUGGUCACCAAUUUAUUGCUGUAGCCAUGUUUUUGUGCCGCAGCUUUGAUGCGACGUGUCUCAUCUUUGAGGUCAUGUUUGGGGCUGCAAUGAAUAGUUGCUCUUCUGACAGGGGACCUGGGAGCAGCCUUUUUGUGGUCCAUUUGUCGCCUGACCAUCCGGGGAUUGUGACUGUUUCGGUGGUGGGUUUCCUAUGUACUUUGGUGUUAAAGGUGGUUCCAUCCUGUAUUGGGUCGGCGUGUGGGAGGUGUAUACAGGUGUGGCUGCUCUGUUCUAAGUUGAGCUUU
rnacentral:lncRNA from 1 species